rnacentral:sRNA from 1 species
GCUUGGUUAGUGCUUUGGAGUCGAAUAUGACUUGAUAUGAUGUGUAUGAUUGAGUAUAAGAAAUUAAACCGCAACCGGAUCUUAAAAGCCUAAGUACUGUUUCCUUGUUAGAAGAUAUAAAGGCAAAGCCUCAUACAGACUUUAGCUAUACCAUCAAAGCCUUGAGAAGCAAGAAGAAACUUGGUUAGUGUUUUGGAGUCAAAUAUUACUAGAUGUCAUGUGUAUGAGUGAGUAUAACAACUAGAACCAUAACCGGAUCUUAAAAACCUAAGUAUUGAAUCUUUGUUAGAAGAUACAAAGACAAAGGCUCAUACGGACUUCGACUACACUAUCAAAGCUUUGAGAAGCAAGAAGAAGCUUGGUUAGUGUUUUGGAUUCGAAUAAGACUUGAUGUCAUGUGUAUGACUCAAUAUAAAAACUAGAACCGCAACAGAGGUUAAAAGCAUAAGUAUUGUAUCAUUGUUAGAAGAUACAAUGACGAAGACUCAUAUGGACUUCUGCUACACCAUCAAAGCUUUGAGAACCAAGAAGAAGUUUGGUUAGUGUUUUGGAGUCGAAUAUGACUUUAUGUCAUGUGUAUGAGUGAGUAUAAAAACUAGAACCGCAACGGAUCUUAAAAGCCUAAAUAUUGUAUCCUUGUUAGAAAAUACAUAGACAAAGACUCAUACAGAAUUCGGCUAAACCAUCAAAGCUUUUAGAAGCAAGAAGAAGCUUGGUUAGUGUUUUGGAGUGAAAUAUGACUAGAUGUCAUGUGUAUGAGUGAGUAUACCAACUAGAACCACAAUUGGAAUUUUAAAAGCCUAAGUAUUGUAUCCUUGUUAGAAGAUACAAAGACAAACACUCAUACGGACUUUGGCUACAUCAUCAAAGCUUUGAGAAGCAAGAAGAAGCUUGGUUAGUGUUUUGGAGUCGAAUAUGACUUGAUGUGAUGUGUAUGAUUGAGUAUAAGAAAUUAAACCGCAAAUGGAUCUUAAAAGCUUAAGUAAUGUUUCCUUGUUAGAAGAUACAAAGGCAAAGCCUCAUACAGACUUUAGCUAUACCAUCUGAUAUGUCUAUAAUUUGCAUGUUUUCAGUGUCUAUUCAUCAUCACUUUGAGUCUAGUUUCGUAUCAUUCAUCACUGUUUUAUAUCAUUUCUCAUCAUUCUUGCACACUUUGCAUGAUUAGGAUAGCUUUGCAUACAUAUUGCAUUUCUGAGUUGUUUUCAGGUGAUUUGGAGCUGUUUGCGAGCAAAUUGGAAGAAACGAGCCAGAACCAGAAGACAUACUCGACCCCCAGGCCGAGUGACUUUGGAGCCAUUCUUCCCACAUACUCGACCCCCAGGUCGAGUGACUUUGGAGCCAUUCUUCCCGUCCACUCGACCACCAGGUCGAGUAACCUCAGCUCAGGCCACUCGACGACAUUACUCGACCCCCUGGUCGAGUACCGCUUCGCCACACCACCUGACCACACUCGACCAUUCACUCUACCACGUUACUCGACCCCCUGGUCGAGUAUCAUCACUCACCACCAUCACCAUCAGUCGACCGGACACUCGAUCACGUCUUCACAGUCUACUCAAAUCCGCACUCAACCAGACAAGCUGAGCACAAGGAAGAAAAGAGGAGAAGACAAAGUGUUUGGAAGCGGCCUGGACCUCCAUCGGAUCACGAAGCCCAUCUCGGCCCAUUAUCACUCUAUGGGCCGGGCGAUUAGGUUAUUGGCCCGUCUACUAUCAUUUUAUUUCGUUUGGUAUAAAUAGAUGUUUUAGGGUUCUGUCCUGAGACAUCUAGUCGACAUUGCGUUUUUGCUUCAGUUUUAUUUUCAGUUUUACUCUGCUACGCCGCUUUUGCUUCUGCAACCUGUAGUUCGCGAUUUUUCCAAGUUAUUGAGAUUCCGCGUUUGAUUUCAUUAGUCAUCUUGUUUCUCUACUCUUUAUCUCUUUACUUAUGCAAUAUUAUCGUUUACCUGCGUUUAUGUCUUUGAGCAUGCUGUCUGAGUAGUGACUUAGAAUUCUUAGGGAUGGGAUAGAGUAGUUGUGGAAUCCGUAGUCUGUAGAAUGGUUAAGUUUUAGAAUUGAUUGAAUCCCUUUAGGACUAGUUGCGUUUACUGCUUAUUUCUUUCUGAUCAACUGGAAUUCGAUCCCAAGCAUUCCCGCACCCAGAAGGUGUUCGAUGGAAUGCUUGAUCCACUAGUUCAUGAGAUAUGCGACUCUAUCCCAAGGGAUUGGCCGUUUAGAGCGUUUAUUGACUUUAUCAGUCUGUUCGUAUUGCCUGCAUAGUUAGAUUCCGUUAAUGGGAAUUAGUCUGGGCUAGCUUUGCUUGAGGAUUUCUAUCACGGGAGUGAAUUGGUCUGUUGUUGAACCUGUUGUCUAGGGAUAGCUUGAUUGCGCUUGUUAACCAUUCGAAUAGGCUAGGACACCACUCUACUCGAUUACCCCAUCCUUAGGAAUUUCUCGUCUAUCUUAUUUCUCUGUUUUAUCGUUAUCGCUUAAUCGUUCUCAUUGCCUGUUUCUUAGUUUUUACAAUCACUCGACCAACUUACUCGACCACACCCAGUGUCUGGCAACAGACUGUGCAGUCGAGUAUAGCUGUUUCAUAUCCUGUCUAUUACUCGACCUGUUACUCGACCACAUCCUACUUCUGGCAUCAGCCUGUUGUGGUCGAGUGAUUUUAGUAAUUCUGUUAUUGCUUCUGUUUUCUGCAUGUUCGCUUAGGACUGUUAGAAACCUCAAAACUGUUAUUGCUUGGCUUGACUUAGUGACUUCUGAUCACAUCUCAUCUGUUUGCAUCACACCCAUUUGGAUUGACACCUAAAAUACUACAACGACAUGAUUGGUGUUUUAGGAAUAAUUGACUAAAAACCUAUUAUCAAUUUGGCGCCGUUGCCAAUUGGGUGUUUGUUUGCUAUAUUUGAGAUUUCAGAAUAUUUAAGAUCAAGUUCUUUUUCAUUUUUUCUGAAAGUUACUAACUUUGUGUUAUUUCUGUUUGUCUGUUUUGAUUCAGGUACUACGAAUCACUAGCUUCACCAGUUGGUACUCGUUGUAUGCAAACACGGUCACGAGGAAAUCAGAAUCUCCUGUUCAACGAUAACAUCGACCGUAUUGCACGCCAACUCAGAACACAGACAGAAACAGAGACAAUGGCUGCAGUUGUUGAUGAGCAGGUGCAACCAAACAACAUAGGUGCAGGCGAUGCACCACGCAACCACAAUCAGCGUAAUGGCAUCGUGCCUCCACCUGUGCAGAACAACAACUUUGAGAUCAAGAGCGGUCUCAUUGCCAUGGUUCAGAGCAACAAGUUCCACGGCCUCCCUAUGGAGGAUCCACUCGAUCACCUGGACGAGUUUGAUAGGCUCUGCAGCCUAACAAAGAUCAAUGGAGUCAGUGAGGAUGGCUUCAAGCUCAGAUUGUUUCCUUUCUCUCUUGGAGACAAAAGCCCAUCAGUGGGAAAAGUCGCUUCCUCAAGGCUCUAUCACCUCCUGAAAUGACUGCAAGAAAGCCUUCUUGGCUAAGUUUUUCUCAAACUCCAGGACUGCGAGACUAAGGAAUGAUAUCUCCGGUUUCACUCAGACGAAUAAUGAGACUUUCUGCGAAGCAUGGGAGCGCUUCAAAGGUUAUCAGACGCAAUGUCCUCAUCAUGGUUUCUCCAAAGCUUCGCUUCUCAGCACUCUCUACAGAGGUGUCCUCCCAAAGAUCAGGAUGCUUCUAGAUACCGCUUCUAACGGGAACUUUCUCAACAAAGACGUUGAAGACGGAUGGGAGCUGGUAGAGAACUUAGCUCAGUCGGAUGGCAACUAUAAUGAAGAUUAUGAUAGAAGCGUCCGCACCAGCUCUGAUUCUGAUGAGAAGCACCGCAGGGAAAUGAAAGCCAUGAAUGACAAACUGGACAAGCUACUGCUUGUGCAACAGAAGCACAUUCAUUUU